rnacentral:rRNA from 1 species
GAUGAACGCUGGCGGCGUGCCUAACACAUGCAAGUCGAGCGAUUCUCUUCGGAGAAGAGCGGCGGACGGGUGAGUAACGCGUGGGUAACCUGCCCUGUACACACGGAUAACAUACCGAAAGGUAUGCUAAUACGAGAUAAUAUGCUUUUAUCGCAUGGUAGAAGUAUCAAAGCUUUUGCGGUACAGGAUGGACCCGCGUCUGAUUAGCUAGUUGGUAAGGUAACGGCUUACCAAGGCGACGAUCAGUAGCCGACCUGAGAGGGUGAUCGGCCACAUUGGAACUGAGACACGGUCCAAACUCCUACGGGAGGCAGCAGUGGGGAAUAUUGCACAAUGGGCGAAAGCCUGAUGCAGCAACGCCGCGUGAGCGAUGAAGGCCUUCUGGUCGUAAAGCUCUGUCCUCAAGGAAGAUAAUGACGGUACUUGAGGAGGAAGCCCCGGCUAACUACGUG